CUGGUAAAGUGGGGGAGCUGUAUGAAAUAGCUGUAAAGAUAAAGAGCUUCAAUAUACUGAAGACACCACAUGCAGAUGAAGCAGCUACGAGGGACUGCAGGUCCUUAGAGGGUCGGCACAAGUGGAGUACAGUCAUACCACAAGAUGCCAUUGAACUGGAAUUUGCAGAAAUUUGGUCCGAGACAAAAAUGAAAGCUUAUCUGGGUGGAGAGGAAUUGAGACGAUUCUUUGCUCUGCCUACAGCUUAUUCGUGGGAACAAGAUGGACUUGACCGUCAACUGUCGAACAUAUUGAACUCACUGAAGGAAUCUCAAGAGUAUUACUUCUUUGGAGUAAGAAAGAACUCGACCGAUGACGGUAAAAUUUUCUUCGAAAUCACACAGACGGCAGUACAACUCUUGUCCAUGUAGUGAUGAUUGUCUCACUUACAUUACUUGUAUUAUUAUUAUUUUUAUUAACCAUUCCUAGUUGAUUUAGUACCAUAAGCUGUUGAAGCCCAGUCUUGUACAGAAGUAAACGUUAAUAGUUUA